AUGCAAUUGAAUGAACAAGUUCAAUGGACUUGUAAUAAAGUAAUGAAAUGUAAUUGGUUGAAAGAAAUGCAAUUUAAUGAACAAGUUCAAUGGACUUGUAAUAAAGUAAUGAAAUGUAAUGGGUUGAAAGAAAUGAUGUUGAAGUCAAAUAAUAAGAACCAUCAAAGAAGAAGAUAUCCGAACUUUCAGUUACAAAACAUUAUGUAAAGCAGCUUAAACAGUACUUGUAGAUGAAAACGAACCAGGUUUAGAAAAAAAAAAGAAAAAAGAAGAAGAAGAAGAAGAAGAAGUAGAAGAAGAAGAAGAAGAAGAAGAAGAAGAAGAAGAAGAAGAAGAAGAGAAGAAGAAGAAGAAGAAGAAGAAGAAGAAGAAGAAGAAGAAGAAGAAGAAGAAGAAGAAGAAGAAGAAGAAGAAGAAGAAGAAGAAGAAGAAAAAGGAAAAAAAUGCCCUUGAUUAUGCAUUGUUCCAAAAGAAAAGGACACAAUCAGAAGUUUCAAUGUGACUACAAAGUUAAUGAAAGUUUAAACUUGCGCUUGGGAUAUGCUCCACAAAACAUAACGAGUUUCUGAUGGCUGUUUCAUCAGGAGAUUGACAGUUUCUACUGCAGGUCAGGCUCCUAAUUCGCAAAACCGGUCUUCACAGAGAGUUGCUAUUUAAACUCGAUUUUUGCCAGCAGUUGCCAUUUGAAAGCCAAGUCCUUUCAUUGCUUAGCCUAGCAGGUGCAGGUUGUCUUUCAGAAGGCAAGCUGUUUGCUCAGUCAGCCACAAGCAAGGCUGGUUCCCGAAUUCGCUUCCUGAGCGGGAGGGGGGUGAAGUUGUGCGAAUUCGCCAGUUUCUUUUGGGCAGCAAGGCUUGAUUUCAGGCUUUCAAACGAUAUAAUUAAAUCGUUUUCUUCUGGAGUUUGCCAUCGACCUUAGACACCCUCCCCGUGGGCUUGGCUAGCCCUGGGGCAGCCAGUGCAGCAGAGCUCCGCCCCGCGCUAGCUGGCUAGACUAUAAAUGGCUACAGCCCUGGGGACAAGGCAGGCUCUGCCUCACUCUACCCAAACUGUUAAGCAAGCUCUGUUGUUCUCAACUUGAUUAAGACUGAGAAAUAUUAUCGCCGAAAAACCGUCGAAGAUUUUACAGCAGCCUGGCUCUAACCGCUUCUACCCAAAUUGGUAACUAUACCUGACCUUUUGUGCUAAAUGUUAUAAGAAAUAACAAUUA
rnacentral:lncRNA from 1 species